CUCUCUCUUCGUUCUUAUCUCCUUCUUCUUCUGUCCUUUCUGUCGAAUUAAAAUCAUAGAAUUGAGUUAAAUCUUGUGAGAGUUCAUAGGAAACUUGUUAGUACGUUGAAUCGAAGGUGAUGAUGUUGUAGUUGUUUGAGCACGAGAAGAGGAUGAUAUGGUUGCUGUUGUAAGUCAGAGUUGGGUUUCUGUAAUAGGGUUCGUGUAGAAUUGAUGAUGAAUUGAGUUGUUGAUGAUUGAAGAACUGAGGGGUUGAUUUUGAUUUGCCGAAGUGAAUCUUUUCUGGUGUUGAAUCGAAAAUAAAAGUUAGUCGUUAUUAACAACGAUCGAUUCAAAGGAUGAUCCAGUGGAUUGAACAUCUCGAGGUAGGAGAGGCUUGUCAUUAAAAGAGUUUCAGAAACAGAUCAAGCUGCGUACAUGGUGAUAAAAGCUUCGAGGAGUUGGUUUGGUUUCGUUAGUUGGUUAUCUUCCGCUAUGUUUAUUUUGUGUUUGUAUUCUAUUUGUAAACCAACUCAUUAUUAAAUAUGUAUCACUUGAGAGGAGUUUUUGUAUGUAUUUCAGAGAGGGUUUAGAUUCGGGUUAAUCUUUGUUUAGAA